rnacentral:misc_RNA from 1 species
GUUGGUGAACCAGCGGAGGGAUCAUUACCGAGUUCUUCAAACUCCCAAACCCCUGUGAACCUUACCAUCGUUGCUUCGGCGGCUCGUCCCGGCCCCGCUCCCUCCCGGGGGGGCGUGGCCGGAUGCCAAAGGCGUCCGCCGGGGGUAUCAAACUCUCGUUUUUCUUCAGUGGAAUAUUCUGAGUGCAUAAGCAAAAAUAAUAAAAAACAACUUUCAGCAAUGGAUCUCUUGGCUCUGGCAUCGAUGAAGA